UAAAUAUGUCUGUAAAUGUUUUUAUUACUAUGUUUCUACUGCUACAUUGUAUAUUUUGGAGAAACUGUAUUUUUCCUGGUCUGCUUUUGGUUUGGGGCUUGUGUUUUUUCUUUCAGAGGCUGGGCGUGGCUUAUUGGCUGCUGGAGCUCUCUGCAAUCACUCACCUGAUUGUCUUCUGUAAUCACCAGCUGCAGCAUUUAUACCCUGGUUCACCUCUCCCAAACUGCCAGAUUAUUUCCGCCUACACCAUGUGCCUCCAACCAACGAGCUCCAGCGCCUCACCACCCAGCCUCUCAUUCAGCCUCACCUCAAUAAAUACCCCUUUACCCAG